rnacentral:rRNA from 1 species
GGUGAGAAUCCGUCUGUGACCGGUGACCGAUCCCAUGCGAAACCCCUUCGACGAGUCGAGUUGUUUGGGAAUGCAGCUCAAAAUGGGUGGUAAAUUUCAUCUAAAGCUAAAUACUGGCUGGAGACCGAUAGCGCACAAGUAGAGUGAUCGAAAGAUGAAAAGCACUUUGGAAAGAGAGUCAAAAAGUACGUGAAAUUGUUGAAAGGGAAGCGCUUGCAACCAGACCUGUCCGUGGGUGAUCAGCCGCCGUUCUCGGUGGUGCACUCGCCUACGAUCAGGCCAGCAUCGGUUCGGGCGGCCGGACAAAGGCCUUGGGAAUGUAGCUCCUCUCGGGGAGUCUUAUAGCCCUCGGUGCAAUGUGGCCAGCCCGGACCGAGGACCGCGCUUCGGCUAGGAUGCUGGCGUAAUGGUUGUAAGCGACCCGUCUUGAAACACGGACCAAGGAGUCUAACAUCUAUGCGAGUGUUUGGGUGUUAAACCCAUACGCGGAAUGAAAGUGAACGGAGGUGAGAACCCUUUAGGGCGCAUCAUCGACCGAUCCAGAUGUCUUCGGAUGGAUUUGAGUAUGAGCAUAGCUGUUGGGACCCGAAAGAUGGUGAACUAUGCCUGAAUAGGGUGAAGCCAGAGGAAACUCUGGUGGAGGCUCGCAGCGGU